AUCAACUUUCGAUGGUAGGAUAGAGGCCUACCAUGGUGGUAACAGGUAACGGGGUGUUAGGGCACGACACCGGAGAGGGAGCCUGAGAAACGGCUACCACAUCCAAGGAUGGCAGCAGGCGCGCAAAUUACCCAAUCCCGACACGGGGAGGUAGUGACAAUAAAUAACAAUACAGGGUUCUUUUGGAUCUUGUAAUUGGAAUGAGUACAAUUUAAAUCUCUUAACGAGGAACAAUUGGAGGGCAAGUCUGGUGCCAGCAGCCGCGGUAAUUCCAGCUCCAAUAGCGUAUAUUAAAGUUGUUGCAGUUAAAAAGCUCGUAGUUGAAUUUCGGGAUUAAUGUUUCGGUCAUGCCGUUGGUAUGUACUGAUAUUAUUGAUUUCUCACCUUCUAAAGAACCGUAAUGCCAUUAAUUUGGUGUCACGGGGAAUUAGGACUGUUACCUUGAAAAAAUUAGAGUGUUUAAAGCAGGCUCACGCUUGAAUACAUUAGCAUGGAAUAAUGAAAUAGGACAUCCGAUUCUAUUUUGUUGGUUUCUAGGAUCGAUGUAAUGAUUAAUAGGGAUAGUUGGGGGCAUUAGUAUUCAAUUGUCAGAGGUGAAAUUCUUGGAUCUAUUGAAGACUAACUACUGCGAAAGCAUUUGCCAAGGAUGUUUUCAUUAAUCAAGAACGAAAGUUAGGGGAUCGAAGACGAUCAGAUACCGUCGUAGUCUUAACCAUAAACUAUGCCGACUAGGGAUCGGAUGAUGUUAAUUUUUUAAUGACUCAUUCGGCGCCUUACGGGAAACCAAAGUGUUUGGGUUC
rnacentral:rRNA from 1 species